UGCAUUGGAGUGGAAAAGUUGAAUUCGUCAGAAUUUCCUUCGGAGAGGGUGCUGUAUUUGUACAGAAGACAAGCCUGUGGAACCUGUGUAUGUUGGAAGCUCAGAAAUGGAGAGCGUCUGCAUGCAGAUCUACUGGAAAAAAUCAUGAAAGGCUUGAGGUGAGUGAGUUGAACGUGGUGAAGGGACAGAUCUCCCAUCCAGGAUCUCGUGGGGGCUGAUCGGAGAUGCGCCUUGAAGGGAAUGGAAUGCCGAAGACAGAGGAAAGCAUGAGGAGUCGAGAGGACAUCGGACCCUCGCAGACGGUGAUAUUGGGGUUUGGACCAAGCUUAGCCAACUCUUUGAGGGGCCAGAGGCCCAAAUGACAUAUAGGUAACACAUUACUUGUUUGUCAACUGAGAAAAGAAGCAGAGCAGAAAUAAAACAAAAGUAUUUAUUUGGGGGUCUCAGAAUUGCCAUUCGGGGAGCAUGGACAUGGGUAGCAACCCAAAUUGUGUGCUCCUAGGGAACAAAAAGCAGGGGUUUUAAAAGACCAAAGAGAGUGCUUCUAUGAGUUGUUGACAAAUAAUUUUAAUUGGUUGGACAGACAACUAACCUUGGCCGAACAUAAUGGGUUGCUAAGGCUGUCACGAAGCAAAGCAGCAAAUCACAGGUGCUUGGGCUGUCUUUGGACUCUCUGCAGCUUGGACCAGUUCAGUAGUUCAUGGCUCCAUCUGCUGAGGACACAACUUAUCGAGGCUGCUCUGAAUGAAAGUGAAACCCCCAGUUUGAUCUCAGACGAAACCAUCAUUUUAGAACCAGGUGUUGGGCAUGUUACCCGAAACUGCAUUCCUCUCCUGCAGUCAAGGCAAAAGUCACAAGCAAGCCGAAGAACAGGAAAGGAAAGGGUAUACUUGCAACAUGCAAAGGCAGACACUGGGUAUUUCCCUAAACAGCGUCUCCUUGGACAACAAAACUGGUUAAGUGUGGAGCUAAGGCCUCCUUCUAGCUACCGUGUGGACAGUGGAUCAUGGGGGCGAAAGUGGAACCAGGAGAAUCAUUGCCAUUUCCAGCAUUUAGACACUGCUCUUAAUCUUGUGUCCCUCAGCCAUGACUUCAUGCAUGACUCAGCAUGAAGAUUUUCCUGUUUUCGAGAUUAUCAGCAACUACACUGGAUGUGGACAUUUCCUACCAAACAGCUCUCUUUGGGAUUAAGAGACGACUUUCAUUUCAGGAUUCUCGAUAACGAACAUGAGUGAACGUACAGCAGAUGAAUCUUGGCAUGGCCGAGAACCAGCUCUCGCUGGCUCUGAAGUGCUCCCCUCUGUGCAGAGACAAAGUGGACCUCGGCCAGACUCACCAGCAUGAACUGAACCCCACUGUUCACAGCAGUUUGUAGCACAAGCCUCACUGAGUCUGCUUGAGUUGGCAACAUUAAAAGAAAUUCGGCCCUUGUUAAUUAUGAGGGCUAAAUGCCCCAUCCUGGUUUUUCCAGACUCCACUUUGAAAAAAAAAGGGAAUAUUUCUAAUUCUCAAGGAGUUAAUAAAACACACCUCUCAAAGAGAAUGAAUAUGAAAGCUUUUGGAUUUGCAUGCUGCCAAUCACAUCUGAAAUGUAAGCGUCAGGAAAGGGCCUUUCCUAUACCCGGCUAAUUAAUAAGAAAUUUGUUUUAUUCUUCUCUUUAUAAAGGUUACAUUUCCCGGGGCGCCUGGGUGGCUCCGUCAUUGAGCGUCUGCCUUCAGCUCAGAUCAUGAUCCCAGAGUCCUGGGAUGGAGUCCUGCCUCAGGUUCCCUGCUCUGUAGGAAGCCUGCUUCUCCCUCUCCCACUCCCUCUGCUGUGCCUCUCUCGCUAUGUCUAUCUCUGUCAAAUAAAUAAAUAAAAUCUUUUGAAAAAUCAAAAUUUUUUUUAAAUUUUAAAAAGAUUCAAUUUCCCAGUAUCCUCUAGAAGGCACAGGAAUUUUUGUCACCAUGAAUUAUUUUUUAUAAAAUUAUUUCCUGUUUACCAGUUCCUUAGGAACUCUGUGGCAUAAUCACAUUGACAAGCCAAACAAACGUACUUACUGAAGGGACUUUCAUGUCAGACUGCUUGGGUUUGAAUCCCAGCUCUGUGUCUUUCUUAAUUGUGUGACCUUAGGCAGGACACUUAAUCUCUCUGAGUUCAGAUUUUCUCCUCUAAAAACUGGAGAUAGUAAUGGGAAUAUAUCAUAGGUUUGUAAUGAGGACAAAACUGAGUUAAUCGCUCUAAUGGAUUUUGAACACUAAUAAUAGUGCUAUCAAGAAUUAACAGUUGUCGGGGUGCCUGGGUGGCUCAGUGGUUUGGGCUGCUGCCUUCGGCUCGGGUCAUGAUCUCAGGGUCCUGGGAUCGAGCCCCGCAUCGGGCUCCCUGCUCCGCAGGAAGCCUGCUUCCCUCUCUCUCUCUCUCUGCCUGCCUCUCUGCCUACUUGUGAUCUCUGUCUGUCAAAUAAAUAAAUAAAAUCUUUAAAAAAAAAAAAAAGAAUUAACAGUUGUCAAGUAUUAUAUAUAUCACAUUUCAACUAUUAUAUAUAUCAAAUAUUAUAUAUCAAGUAUUGCUACUACAGUUAGCAAUAACAAUAUCAAAUAUUGUUAUUCACUGCCUUCAAAGUUUUAAAAUAUUUUUAAGGCUAUAAUUUUUUCUUUUUGAGUUUAAUUUUUUAAGUACAUAAUUCAGUGGUUUUCGGUAUAUUCACCAAGCCAUACAACCAUCACCAUGAUGUAAUUCCAGAACAUUUUCAUCACUGCACAGAGAGAUUUCUACAUGUUACCAGCCACUCCCCACCCUCUGUAGUCACUCAUUUACCUUUGGUCUCUAUGAACUUGCCUGUUACGGACAUUCUGUAUAAAUGGAAUCAUAGAAUGCAUGGCCCUAAUGUGUCC
rnacentral:lncRNA from 1 species